UGUCAGCUUGAAGGCUUCAUCCCCAAGACCCGUGUGGGCAAAGGGGACGAAAUCUGACCGCCCCCCCCCCCCAACUUCCUAAAGGGGUGUUGACGCCCGCAGAGACCAAAGGUCACACGCCCUCUCUGGGCGGUGGGGUGGCGGUGGAGAGGAGGCAGCUCUGGGGGGCAUCAGCGACACUUCAAAGACCUCUCGGCCGGGAAGGCUUCCUGCGGGGGAUGGGCGGCCGGGCAGUGGAGGGGAGACCCGCAGGGGAUUGAGGUUGGAGGAGACUGCCCCCCCCUCCGCGCACUGCCCCCCCCCCCCCGGCCGACUCUUCCGCCGGGACCGCCUCCUUUUCACCAGCACCUGUUCAACCGGAACAUCAAGGGGCCGGGGCCCGCCGUCUCCCCUCCCUUCGCGUCUAUUUAGUACCUUUCAUCCGGGAAGGGAGGGGGUGAAUCCCCGCCCUGGAGGGGGAUGGAGGGCGGGGGAGAACUUGUCCUUGACCUGGUCUGUGGCGUCAGGGAUUUACUCCCUUAAUCCCGGCAAAGCUAGAGUUUGAGGAGGUUGGGGAGGCCGAGUUCUGGGCUGCGGCCACCACCUUCCCUUUCUCCUGCAGGGACGCGGGAUUUCCGGAGGGCUGCCGGGAAGAAGAGGUUCUGUCUGGACGGUCGGGGCGGGGGGAGGCCGGGCUCUGCGGCUUCCGAGCCCGGGGAGGGGGCCUCCAGCCCGGGGACUGUCGAGAGGGAGGGAGGGGGGUCUGCAGUUUGGGGUCGCUGCGAGGACGGCCACGCGCGGGCAUCUUGGUCUGCCCUGUGCACUUCGCUCAGACGAAAAGUUAAACCAGACCCAGAGGGGAAGUCUCAGGAAAUUACCUUUACCGACAAGAACAAAACGUCAGAACAUUAAGCGCAAACAUGUCAGCCCUAGCCAUUCGCCAGAGCGGCUUGGAGGCAUCUGGGCAGCUGGGAGCCUGAGCUCAUUAUCUUCCCCUCCAACCUGCUUGUCUCUUCCUGCAUCCCACCCGUGAGUCAGCAUCAGUUGGGCCUCCGUUCCCCGCCUCCCUGUGGCCAGUUGCUUACAAAUGCUGCUGAUUCCGCCUCGAAUACCUGUCCACACUUGAGGUCACUGCUUUCCUGAGGUCGUCACCAUCCUUUGCUGCGACACUGGAUUACGUGCUGAUCCUAAAGAAGAAACUUCUCAGCCAAGGAAUCAGCGGUCAUCAGCGGAGCCCGCCAAUCAGCCAGUCAGCCUCCGAGUGGAGCUGGCAGUGGCUCAGGCGCGGGAGGAAGCCUGAAUGUAAUCAAGCCUGUAGAUCUAAUUUCCAGUUGACAGGAAGCAGAGGGUACACAACACAACCAGAAAGCAACCAGACAAAUCUAGAAGUUUGAAAUGUGUAUAAUGAAAAAAUUUAAAAUAUGGAUUUGAGUGCCAACUAUGUACUCAUCACUAAGCUAAGGCAAAAAUCUAAUGUGGUCCUUAUCUCCCUGAAACAUGGAGUGUGUCAGGGGAGAGGAGUAGGUGGCUGCUGAUGGCUGCAGGUGGCAGCAACAGGACAGGCGCUUGCUUGGCUCUGGAACUCGUCUCCCAUGCCUCCUUUGUGCGGCCCUGCUCAUCUUUAGAACCUACGUGGAAGGUUAUCUUCUCUGAGAAGACUUCCCUCCUCAAGGUCACCCUGUCUGGACGAUGGUCAUUCCUCUGUUGCUACUUCUCAAAUGAGCCGGAACACCCAUCUCUCCCACCAGACUGUGUCUCCGUCAUUUCCGAGUCUCCAGGGCCUGGCUACAAGGUGGAUGCUCGGUGAUUGUGGAUACAUAGAUGAAUGGGCUCAUUCUAAGCAUGUGAAGAAGGUAUAACAGGAGGGCAAGCCUGGAGUAAUUGCUGGGGAUGUGGAGUAGGGAUGGGCAAAGGGAAGAAACAGGAGAAGGGGAAAAGGCUAAGCCUCUCCCAAGAGCACUUGCAUUUAUCAAGGGCGUCAUGGGUCAGGCGCUAAGCACGGGGUCUCAUUUACUCCUCACUGUAUCCCCGGGAGGAACACUGUCUGCUUGAAUAUAACCUGGCUCCCCCUAGUUUACCGGAAUGUAAGCUUCUGGGUGGGGGGUUGUUUGUCUUGCUCACCACUGUGCCUCCAACACUAGCUAGGCAUGUAGAUAGGGCUGCCAGGUGACAUGCAGGAUGCCCAGUUACAUUUGAAUUACAGAGAAACAAUAAAUCCUUUUUAGCAUAAAUAUGUUCUGUAUUUCUUGUGCUAAAUUUGGCAAGCCCGUGCAUAGUAGAUGUUUAAUAAAUGUUAUUGAAUAAACAUUACUUAAUUACAGGACACCCGGGGGAUACGAUCAGUCAGUUCCAGACUGUGGGAAACCUAGAUGAUAGU